AUUGAACGCUGGCGGCAGGCCUAACACAUGCAAGUCGAACGAGUGGCGGACGGGUGAGUCAUGUCUGGGAAACUGCCUGAUGGAGGGGGAUAACUACUGGAAACGGUCGCUAAUACCGCAUACCAUCAGCUUUCCCCAUAUGGGAUUAGCGAGUUGGUGGGGUAACGGCUCACCAAGGCGACGAUCCCUAGCUGGUCUGAGAGGAUGACCAGCCACACUGGAACUGAGACAUGGUCCAGACUCCGACGGGAGGCAGCAGUGGGGAAUAUUGCACAAUGGGCGCAAGCCUGAUGCAGCCAUGCCGCGUGUAUGAAGAAGGCCUUCGGGUUGUAAAGUACUUUCAGCGGGGAGGCGUUACCCGAAGAAGAAGCACCGGCUAACUCCGUGCCAGCAGCCGCGGUAAUAA
rnacentral:rRNA from 1 species